UUAUACCAUACGCCAUAACAAACAUGGGUUCUGCCUUGCUUGGUAUUGAUCUUGGUUUUAUGGGACCAAACUACUCAAUCUCAACUGCUUGUGCUACCUCCAAUUAUUGUUUUUAUGCCGCCGCCAAUCACAUUCGCAGAGGUGAAGCUGAUUUGAUGCUAGCUGGUGGUACCGAAGCUGCCAUAAUACCUAUUGGAUUAGGAGGUUUUGUGGCCUCCAAUUAUUGUUUUUAUGCCGCUGCGAAUCACAUUCGCAGAGGUGAAGCUGAUUUGAUGCUAGCUGGUGGUACCGAAGCUGCCAUAAUACCUAUUGGAUUAGGAGGUUUUGUGGCGUGCAGAGCUUUGUCUCAAAGGAAUGAUGAUCCGCAAACUGCUUCCAGACCAUGGGACAAAGAAAGAGAUGGCUUUGUUAUGGGCGAGGGAGCUGGAGUUUUGGUAAGUAUCUUGCAAGUGAUGAUCAUAUUUUUUCAUAGAAAGUGCAUCUUAGAUUUGUAUCUUCUUUGAGCAAGUUAUCUGUGUUCCAGUGUAGUUUUCUGUUUUCAUAAAUUGACUCCAAUGCUGAAGCAACUAAAUAUGCAAUAAACUGCUAUCCAUGAAUUGCUG
rnacentral:lncRNA from 1 species